UAGUAUCUACUUGUUAAAUGAUUCAGUUAGGUUGUUAAUAACUAAUUGAUUCUUGCAUACUGUAUCCAAGUAAGCUCUACACCAAGCUUGAGGUGGAUACUUCAGCAGACCCUCAACAACUUCCUUCUUCAAUUCUCCUAAUUUCUUUAGUUGAUAUUUGAAUUCCUCUUCAUAUGUGGCCCAUGCAAACCACCAAAGUAGCUUAUUGUGUUUUCCAGUAUUAAAUGAUUUGCACCAAUUGGCC
rnacentral:lncRNA from 1 species